UACCACAUUUUUCACUUGUUUCGGUUAUCUGUUAAACACAUAGCUAUGUGCUGCAAUGUGGACACUCCUGCUGUAGGCUACGAGGAGCUAGCAGCUACACAGCAGCUGAGCUAAAACAACACAUUUAAGCAUAUUGUAGUGGAAUUUCUGACCUUUUGUAUCACAUUUUGUGCCUGUCGAAGUCCAAGAGGAAAACCUGUCAAAAAGCCUUGAGUGGGAUUCAAGGAUGUUGCAGAGCAAACAAGUCCAAAACAACGGGACCUUGACACAUGAGGGAAACAUAUAAAAGGCCAGUAGACCAAUAUUAUGGUGUGAUUCGCAUGAUUUCGAUCAUCCACGUCUCUCCGGAGGACGUUGUCUGUCUGCAUGGCUUCGGACCACCCACCACAAAAGAUUGGCGUUGUCGGCAGGAUGGUCUACAAUGCUGCAGGUCGACAUCCGAUCCCGGUCCUUCUCUCAGGCAGACGGAUGUUUGCAUGCUCGCAUCUAAAGGUAAGCAAUUUUGCUUAAAGUGUAAAAGCUGUCUGUCUGCAGAUGACCGGGAUUGGUAAGACUAAUUACUGAAACUGUUUUUGAAAAAAAAGCUAGGUCUAGCAGGUUCUCCAAAAACAACCUGGAAUGGGCUAUAUUAUGGUUGGAUUGGGUUGUUUUAUAUGUGAUUAUAUUGUCUGUGUGUUUGUCUGAAAACUUGUGAUUUCUGGUUUUAACAAUAAGGGGAAUUGUUAAUAGAAUUGUGAUGGUUCAGGAGUGUGUUGCACAAAUGAUUCGAGACAAAUACAUUUUUUAACCUCUCCCCCCUCUGGCGUUGUCGGUAGAGGGGGUCUUCUUCUGCAAGUACGCCAGUUUAGCACAAUGUGGGUGCAGCUAAAGUAAAGCCAUUUUUAACUAGCUGGCGGUACAUUUGACGAAAAAAAUAAAAAUUGUUACGUUUGUGAAUGUGCGACAUCUGUCUUUGUGGAGCUGCAGCGGUAGAAAAGCCUAAUUUGUAGUGACCUUUGCAGUGACUCCGGUAAAGGGGAUUGACUGAACUGAUGUUUGUCACGAGUUCUGAUUAGUGGGCUGCUUUUAGACGGAUGGAGAUUGGGCUCCAUACGGUAGAGCUUUGAUGAAGCUGUAUGGAACUGACCAAGCAUGAUGCUUGUACAAUUAUGAUUACCAGUGAGUCUACGGUGCCUUAAAUUUGAGGUGUUUUCCGUGAUUGGUCAGUUUGUUGUCACAGGGUCUGCUCCGCUGGACGGGUUAAUCGACGUUUUAUGAGUAAAAAGGGACCUGUGUUGGUGUUAUGUAACGGCCGUUCCACAAAAAUCACGCGUGCAUAGUUGUUUAUAUUUGUCCGGACAUGGGGUGGGUUGCAUUUUGUUAAUGUGUGUGUAUAUUGGUGAAUGUUGAGAAGUGUGUUGGAUGUGGAGUGAUUCAGUUUUUGUUGGUACAUUUAUAUAUAUGCGUAUUUUAAAAACAAUUAUGCAUGCACCUAUGGGUCUGAUCUGUUUUAUUUCCCUCGCUUGAAAGAUAACCAUUACUCCCACACUCCCGCACCCCCCCCGCGCCCCUGUUGCUGCGAGCAGAUCACCCUUUUCUCACAUCCCUGCUAAUCUGUAAAAGUUGGGAAAUUGUCCAAAAUGUGUGUGGUUAUGAGAAGAUAGACAAAGUUUAUGUUCAGAAAGCAUAUGAGUGAAUGAUCCAUCCAUCCAUUAAUCAUUUUCCGCUUAUCGGAGGUCGGGUUGCGGGGGCAG